rnacentral:rRNA from 1 species
GGCGAACGCUGGCGGCGUGCCUAAUACAUGCAAGUCGAGCGGAGUUAGAGAAGCUUGCUUCUCUAACUUAGCGGCGGACGGGUGAGUAACACGUGGGCAACCUACCUUGUAGAUUGGGAUAACUCCGGGAAACCGGGGCUAAUACCGAAUAAUCCAUUUUGCUUCAUGGCGAGAUGUUGAAAGACGGUUUCGGCUGUCACUACAAGAUGGGCCCGCGGCGCAUUAGCUAGUUGGUAGGGUAAUGGCCUACCAAGGCGACGAUGCGUAGCCGACCUGAGAGGGUGAUCGGCCACACUGGGACUGAGACACGGCCCAGACUCCUACGGGAGGCAGCAGUAGGGAAUCUUCCACAAUGGACGAAAGUCUGAUGGAGCAACGCCGCGUGAGUGAAGAAGGUUUUCGGAUCGUAAAACUCUGUUGUAAGGGAAGAACACGUACGAGAGUAACUGCUCGUACCUUGACGGUACCUUAUUAGAAAGCCACGGCUAACUACGUG